rnacentral:rRNA from 1 species
UACAGAGGUCCCAAGCGUUGUUCGGAUUCAUUGGGCGUAAAGGGUGCGUAGGCGGCGCGGUAAGUCGGGUGUGAAAUCUCGGGGCUUAACUCCGAAACUGCAUUCGAUACUGCCGUGCUUGAGGACUGGAGAGGAGACUGGAAUUUACGGUGUAGCGGUGAAAUGCGUAGAUAUCGUAAGGAAGACCAGUGGCGAAGGCGGGUCUCUGGACCACAACUGACGCUGAUGCGCGAAAGCUAGGGGAGCAAACAGG